rnacentral:tRNA from 1 species
GCCCGGGUGGCGGAAUUGGUAGACGCGCACGUUUCAGGUGCGUGUUCCGAAAGGAGUGCAGGUUCAAGUCCUGUUCCGGGCACCA